rnacentral:misc_RNA from 1 species
AACAAAAUAUGUCAUACGCCCGUAAGUCUUCCUAUUCAUAGUGCUUGAUUUGUUUUGGUUGUUUUUAUUCAUGUUGACUUUCUUUGGAUUAGAUAUGCCUUUUUACUCAAUUUUUGAUGCCCUUUAUUUGUCAUUAGCAGAAAUUUGGUUUUAUAUAAGGUUUAUUACAUCUUAAUGUGCCCUCAUAUGUAAACUAUUGCAUAGAGCUGGAUGUCCUUAAUACAUAGGAAUAACAUGCUUUGCAAACUGUUCUCAAUAUGAAACCAUAGUUACCUGAUUUUGUUCCAAUUCGCCAGACGUUGGCGUCCCAAAUUGCUUGAGGGCGUGAUGUGGAUCACCAAAUCAAGUGAUUCCAUUUAGUCGGCACAAAAUCAAAGGGCUUUGCUUAAAAUUAAAGGGAAAAUGGACAUGAGAAGAAGAAGAUGAAGAAUAUGAAGGAUUGUAGCUGAUUCUUCAUUGUUCUGAGUAUUUUUUUUCUCUUGAUUUUUUCCUUUCAUAACAUAACAGUACCUGUGAGGUUCAUACCAUAGUAUACAGUAAAGUAGAAGAAAAAAGAAGGAAGAACAAAGAAGAAUAAGAAGCAGCAACAAAGCCCAAAGAAGAAGAAGAAGGAGAAGUAUUCGACUCUCUGCAUGCAUCGCCAGAGGAAUAAGAAGAGUUGUUAAUAUAUAUGCAUUGCCAGAGGAAGAAGAAGAGGCGUCAAUUAACAUCUCUGCAUUGUUUGGAUAAAAUUGGACUCUUUGAUAUAAUUUUUGUUGGGUUACAUGAGACAUAGAGAGUAAAUACAAGGCUGAUUGCUUUAAGCCCUAAGUUACAAGGCCUGAAGCUAAAAGCUUAUUUUAUUCAGAAUAUUAUUAUGUUUUGAAAUUUAAUUGAUAAACAAAUUUUAUAGUAUAUUUAAAAAAUAACAGAUUUUUG